rnacentral:misc_RNA from 1 species
UUUCCGUAGGUGAACCUGCGGAAGGAUCAUUACCGGGUUAAGAGGAAGAAACCCCCCAACUCCCCACACUUGCUUACCUACCACGUUGCUUCGGUGUUCCUUCAAGUCCCCCCGUAGGUCAAUCAAAAUAUAUUUCUACAGUCGUCAGAGCGAAUGCGAAAAUAAUUAAAAACUUUCAACAACGGAUCUCUUGGUUCUG